rfam:Shewanella violacea DSS12 DNA, complete genome.
GGGCCGUUAGCUCAGUUGGUAGAGCAGUUGGCUUUUAACCAAUUGGUCGAAGGUUCGAAUCCUUCACGGCCCA